AGAGUUUGAUCAUGGCUCAGAACGAACGUUAGCGGCGCGCCUAACACAUGCAAGUCGCGCGAGAAAGGGCUUCGGCCCCAGUAAAGCGGCGCACGGGUGAGUAACACGUAGGUCAUCUUCCCCUGAGUGGUGGAUAACUCUCCGAAAGGAGAGCUAAUACAGCAUAAGACCACGACCUCGCUGAGGUUGUGGCCAAAGCAGACCUCUUCAUGAAAGUUUGCGCUUAGGGAUGAGCCUGCGGCCCAUCAGCUAGUUGGUAGGGUAAUGGCCUACCAAGGCUAAGACGGGUAGCUGGUCUGAGAGGAUGAACAGCCACACUGGAACUGAGACACGGUCCAGACUCCUACGGGAGGCAGCAGUGGGGAAUCUUGCGCAAUGGGCGAAAGCCUGACGCAGCGACGCCGCGUGAGCGAUGAAGGCCUUCGGGUUGUAAAGCUCUGUGGGGAGGGAAGAAUAAGUCUUGGCUAAUAUCCAAGAUGAUGACGGUACCUCCUUAGCAAGCACCGGCUAACUCUGUGCCAGCAGCCGCGGUAAGACAGAGGGUGCAAACGUUGUUCGGAAUUACUGGGCGUAAAGCGCGUGUAGGCGGCUAAGUAAGUCGGGCGUGAAAUCCCACGGCUCAACCGUGGAAGUGCACUCGAAACUGCAUAGCUAGAGUCCUGGAGAGGAAGGUGGAAUGCUUGGUGUAGAGGUGAAAUUCGUAGAUAUCAAGCGGAACACCUGUGGCGAAAGCGGCGCACUGGACCAUAACUGACGCUGAGGCGCGAAAGCUAGGGGACAAACAGGAUUAGAUACCCUAGUAGUCC
rnacentral:rRNA from 1 species